rnacentral:rRNA from 1 species
GAUGAACGCUGGCGGCGUGCCUAAUACAUGCAAGUCGAGCGAACAGAUAAGGAGCUUGCUCCUUUGACGUUAGCGGCGGACGGGUGAGUAACACGUGGAUAACCUACCUAUAAGACUGGGAUAACUUCGGGAAACCGGAGCUAAUACCGGAUAACAUAUUGAACCGCAUGGUUCAAUAGUGAAAGGCGGCUUUGCUGUCACUUAUAGAUGGAUCCGCUCCGUAUUAGCUAGUUGGUAAGGUAACGGCUUACCAAGGCAACGAUACGUAGCCGACCUGAGAGGGUGAUAGGCCACACUGGAACUGAGACACGGUCCAGACCCCUACGGGAGGCAGCAGUAGGGAAUCUUCCGCAAUGGGCGAAAGCCUGACGGAGCAACGCCGCGUGAGUGAUGAAGGUCUUCGGAUCGUAAAACUCUGUUAUCAGGGAAGAACAAAUGUGUAAGUAACUGUGCACAUCUUGACGGUACCUGAUCAGAAAGCCACGGCUAACUACGU